GAAAUGCGAUAAGUAAUGUGAAUUGCAGAAUUCAGUGAAUCAUCGAAUCUUUGAACGCACAUUGCGCCCGCCAGUAUUCUGGCGGGCAUGCCUGUUCGAGCGUCAUUUCAACCAUCAAGCCCCGCGCUUGUGUUUGGGACCUGCGGCUGCCGCAGGCCCUGAAAACCAGUGGCGGGCUCGCUGUCACACCGGGCGUAGUAGAUUUUAUCUCGCUCAGGGCGUGCUGCGGGUUCCGGCCGUUAAAAAGCCUUUUUUACCCAAGGUUGACCUCGGAUCAGGUAGGAAGACCCGCUGAACUUAAGC
rnacentral:misc_RNA from 1 species